AUUGAACGCUGGCGGAAUGCUUUACACAUGCAAGUCGGGCGGCAGCGCGGGGGCAACCCUGGCGGCGAGCGGCGAACGGGUGAGUAAUACAUCGGAACGUGUCCUUGAGUGGGGGAUAGCUCGGCGAAAGCCGGAUUAAUACCGCAUAAGCUCUGAGGAGGAAAGCGGGGGACUGGUAACGGCCUCGCGCUGUUGGAGCGGCCGAUGUCGGAUUAGCUAGUUGGUGGGGAAAGCCCACCAAGGCGACGAUCCGUAGCUGGUCUGAGAGGAUGAUCAGCCACACUGGAACUGAGACACGGUCCAGACUCCUACGGGAGCAGCAGUGGGGAAUUUUGGACAAUGGGGGCAACCCUGAUCCAGCCAUUCCGCGUGAGUGAAGAAGGCCU
rnacentral:rRNA from 1 species